GACGAACGCUGGCGGCGUGCCUAAUACAUGCAAGUCGAGCGGACCAAACAGGAGCUUGCUCUUGUUUGGUUAGCGGCGGACGGGUGAGUAACACGUGGGUAACCUGCCCGUAAGACCGGGAUAACUCCGGGAAACCGGAGCUAAUACCGGAUAACACCGAAGACCGCAUGGUCUUUGGUUGAAAGGCGGCUUCGGCUGCCACUUACGGAUGGGCCCGCGGCGCAUUAGCUAGUUGGUGAGGUAACGGCUCACCAAGGCGACGAUGCGUAGCCGGCCUGAGAGGGUGACCGGCCACACUGGGACUGAGACACGGCCCAGACGCCUACGGGAGGCAGCAGUAGGGAAUCUUCCGCAAUGGACGAAAGUCUGACGGAGCGACGCCGCGUGAGCGAAGAAGGUCUUCGGAUCGUAAAGCUCUGUUGUUAGGGAAGAAGAAGCGCCGUUCGAACAGGGCGGCGCGGUGACGGUACCUAACGAGAAAGCCCCGGCUAACUACGUG
rnacentral:rRNA from 1 species